AGUGAACGCUGGCGGUAGGCCUAACACAUGCAAGUCGAACGGCAGCACAGUAAGCGCUUGCUCUUACGGGUGGCGAGUGGCGGACGGGUGAGGAAUACAUCGGAAUCUACUUUUUCGUGGGGGAUAACGUAGGGAAACUUACGCUACUACCGCAUACGACCUACGGGUGAAAGCAGGAGAUCUUCGGACCUUGCGCGAUUGAAUGAGCCGAUGUCGGAUUAGCUAGUUGGCGGGGUAAAGGCACACCAAGGCGACGAUCCGUAGCUGGUCUGAGAGGAUGAUCAGCCACACUGGAACUGAGGCACGGUCCAGACUCCUACGGGAGGCAGCAGUGGGGAAUAUUGGACAAAGGGCGCAAGCCUGAUCCAGCCAUACCGCGUGGGUGAAGAAGGCCUUCGGGUUGUAAAGCCCUUUUGUUGGGAAAGAAAAGCAGCAGGUUAAUACCCCGCUGUUCUGACGGUACCCAAAGAAUAAGCACCGGCUAACUUCGUG
rnacentral:rRNA from 1 species